AGUGUGAAGGGUUUCUCAGUGGUGCACUGGGUAAGACGAUGAGCGUAAGUCGCAAGGCGUGCAGACCUCAUGGUUGAAUCCUGGGCACUGCUGGUUCCUGGAUCACUCAACAGUCCUGAAGGGACUCCAGGGGGGGCCGUGUCCCCCCUGCGUUUCCAGAGAGGUGGAAAGGAGGCCUUAUGAAACCGAGAAGUAAAACCAACUAGAAUUUUGAACAAAAGCAAAAAAAUUAAUUGACAGUUAAAGGUUACAUACAUGUUUAUUAUAACACACAAUCUGGAAUCAACUUCAGCUACUGGCUGUAGAUUUCAAUGAUUAGUGUGUUUGCAAGAAGAACAGUCAAUAAAGAUGAAGAAAUGUGAGCAACACAACUAUUUAUCAACUGUAAUAAAGGAGCUGAUGAGAGACAUUUUUGCAAUUUAUUUUAAUAAAAGAGGAAAAUGAAAGAUCAGGGAAAAGAAAAUCAGGAUCAAACUUUCACUACAACACAUCACACAGAGACACUGAGGAACCAGGA